UCAAAUCUGUGUAGAAAAUGGUUCAUACCUGCAUUAUGUGGUGUAUUUGGCAAGAGCGCAACGCACGAACUUUUGAAGAUAAGGAGCGGACAACAGAAGAGGGACAACGUCGUGAAAAUGAGCAUUUCCCCCAUUUCGUAGAUAAUAAGCAUUAACUCGCCAGCGAAAGGCGUGUAAAGUUGAUGAGGAUGGCAUGGGGCAUUUGAAAGAAUGCUGGCAAGCUUAAUUUCUUUAAGAUAUAUUCGGAGGUGACGUGCAAAAGAUGGAAGUUUUUAUUGCAGAAAUAGCUCGUAAGGGAUACCGGAGACUGAUUUUAGCUGUACGUAGUCUGUCAUCAUACAUGGCUCCUUUCAUUAGAUUAGAAUAAAUAAAACUGGAAAGAUGUUAGCAAGCAA